UUCUUUUGAUCUCGUGUUCUCUCUUAGUCUCUUUCAAAUUCAAGUCAGAGAUAUUUUCCCUGAUAUCUUAAUUUGAUUUUCAUGGGGAUCUAUUUUAAUUUUGAUUCAUUAUUGCUGUCGUCUACACUAGGGUUUUCGUUUCUCGAUUUUCCUCCCUAACUAUACGUGCUGAACCGAGUAACAAUUAAAUUGGAAAAUCUGUGAAGUUUUUCAAUGACUUGAUCGCAUAGCGGAGUGGAUAUCGCGUUAGACUCCGAAUCUAAAGAUGUUUGAUGAUCAAGACUUGGGCUUUUUCGCCAAUUUCCUUGGCAUUUUUAUAUUUGUGCUGGUGAUUGCUUACCAUUAUGUAAUGGCCGACCCUAAAUAUGAAGGUAGCUAAAAAGUGAUAACUAGGAAUAUAUGUAUUCUUAUCUACCAUGUUCUACCGAAACUUGCGUGAUACCUACAAUAUGUGGAUUUUGUUAACUUAUUUUCAUGUAUUCUUUUCUUAUUGACUAUCUUUA